rnacentral:rRNA from 1 species
UACGGAGGGUGCAAGCGUUGUCCGGAAUCACUGGGCGUAAAGGGCGCGUAGGCGGCUUUAUAAGUCGGGGGUGAAAGCCUGUGGCUCAACCACAGAAUUGCCUUCGAUACUGUAGAGCUUGAGACCGGAAGAGGUAAGUAGAACUGCGAGUGUAGAGGUGAAAUUCGUAGAUAUUCGCAAGAACACCAGUGGCGAAGGCGGCUUACUGGUCCGGUUCUGACGCUGAGGCGCGAAAGCGUGGGGAGCAAACAGG